rnacentral:rRNA from 1 species
UACGGAGGGAGCUAGCGUUGUUCGGAAUUACUGGGCGUAAAGCGCACGUAGGCGGCUUUUUAAGUCAGGGGUGAAAUCCCGGAGCUCAACUCCGGAACUGCCCUUGAAACUGGGAAGCUAGAAUCUUGGAGAGGCGAGUGGAAUUCCGAGUGUAGAGGUGAAAUUCGUAGAUAUUCGGAAGAACACCAGUGGCGAAGGCGACUCGCUGGACAAGUAUUGACGCUGAGGUGCGAAAGCGUGGGGGGCAAACAGG